GCUGGUGUCUGACUCCCGACCUCAGCUCCUCAAACCUCUCCUCUGCACUCCAGCCAGUCAAACCCAGUCAAACCCAGUCUGCUCCAAAAGGACAUUCGUCUAUUGUGCUGAUCCGGUUCAGCUCGUGACACCAGCCCUUACAGUUUACCACCCCCCGGAUCUCACAUGCGCGCGCCUUUUAACAGCCAAAUCACGCCUUUUGUUCUUGUUUCUCUCGCGAGACCUGACAACGCCCCCCUCCCCCCCACCAUUCAUUAGAGGGAAAAAUGUGGGAAUGAAGUUAAAGUCCAGUAACCGUCUCUCCCCUGCAGAUGUGGAGCUGCUCUGUUCCUCCUCCUGUCUGUCUCUCUGCACUCUCCUUUACACCAUAACGUAGAUGUUCCUCAGCAUCCACCCUGGGUCGCUCUCCUGAGGUCGCCAACAAAAUCUGCAGUAAACGGUCAACUCCAGCUGAGAUCCGAGAAGAAGAAGAUGGGUCGUCGCAGGCCAGACAGGUCCAACAUGGGUCAAGGUGAAGAUCCUCAAGGUCCAGAAGAUCCAAAAGAGUCUGAAGAUCCAGUUGGGUCUGAAGAUCCUCAAGGUCCAGAAAAGGAACCUCAGAUGACCAUCAGGAGAAGAUCUCUGGAUAUUCAUGUUAUUUUCUCCUCAGAACUCCCACCUGCUGCCAGUGUCGAGGAGAAUCAGGACACAACACCAUCAUUAAACACCAUCACUGAUCCCAAAGAGGAGGCAAAGUCAAAUAAUGUUCUCAGUGUUUAAACACAGACAGACCAGAGAGGACGAGAACUUUAAAUAGAAAA